rnacentral:rRNA from 1 species
AUGGAGAGUUUGAUUCUGGCUCAGAACGAACGCUGGCGGCGUGGAUAAGACAUGCAAGUCGAACGAGAGAAUUGCUAGCUUGCUAAUAAUUCUCUAGUGGCGCACGGGUGAGUAACACGUGAGUAACCUGCCCCCGAGAGCGGGAUAGCCCUGGGAAACUGGGAUUAAUACCGCAUAGUAUCGAAAGAUUAAAGCAGCAAUGCGCUUGGGGAUGGGCUCGCGGCCUAUUAGUUAGUUGGUGAGGUAACGGCUCACCAAGGCGAUGACGGGUAGCCGGUCUGAGAGGAUGUCCGGCCACACUGGAACUGAGACACGGUCCAGACACCUACGGGUGGCAGCAGUCGAGAAUCAUUCACAAUGGGGGAAACCCUGAUGGUGUGACGCCGCGUGGGGGAAUGAAGGUCUUCGGAUUGUAAACCCCUGUCAUGUGGGAGCAAAUUAAAAAGAUAGUACCACAAGAGGAAGAGACGGCUAACUCUGUGCCAGCAGCCGCGGUAAUACAGAGGUCUCAAGCGUUGUUCGGAAUCACUGGGCGUAAAGCGUGCGUAGGCUGUUUCGUAAGUCGUGUGUGAAAGGCGCGGGCUCAACCCGCGGACGGCACAUGAUACUGCGAGACUAGAGUAAUGGAGGGGGAACCGGAAUUCUCGGUGUAGCAGUGAAAUGCGUAGAUAUCGAGAGGAACACUCGUGGCGAAGGCGGGUUCCUGGACAUUAACUGACGCUGAGGCACGAAGGCCAGGGGAGCGAAAGGGAUUAGAUACCCCUGUAGUCCUGGCAGUAAACGGUGCACGCUUGGUGUGCGGGGAAUCGACCCCCUGCGUGCCGGAGCUAACGCGUUAAGCGUGCCGCCUGGGGAGUACGGUCGCAAGAUUAAAACUCAAAGAAAUUGACGGGGACCCGCACAAGCGGUGGAGUAUGUGGCUUAAUUCGAUGCAACGCGAAGAACCUUACCUGGGCUUGACAUGUAAUGAACAACAUGUGAAAGCAUGCGACUCUUCGGAGGCGUUACACAGGUGCUGCAUGGCCGUCGUCAGCUCGUGUCGUGAGAUGUUUGGUUAAGUCCAGCAACGAGCGCAACCCCUGUUGCCAGUUACCAGCACGUGAAGGUGGGGACUCUGGCGAGACUGCCCAGAUCAACUGGGAGGAAGGUGGGGACGACGUCAGGUCAGUAUGGCCCUUAUGCCCAGGGCUGCACACGUACUACAAUGCCCAGUACAGAGGGGGCCGAAGCCGCGAGGCGGAGGAAAUCCUAAAAACUGGGCCCAGUUCGGACUGUAGGCUGCAACCCGCCUACACGAAGCCGGAAUCGCUAGUAAUGGCGCAUCAGCUACGGCGCCGUGAAUACGUUCCCGGGUCUUGUACACACCGCCCGUCACAUCAUGGAAGCCGGUCGCACCCGAAGUAUCUGAAGCCAACCGCAAGGAGGCAGGGUCCUAAGGUGAGACUGGUAACUGGGAUGAAGUCGUAACAAGGUAGCCGUAGGGGAACCUGCGGCUGGAUCACCUCCUUUCUAUGGA